rnacentral:tRNA from 1 species
GAAGGUAUAGCUCAGUAGGAGAGUGCAUGCUUAGCAUGCAUGAGGUCCUGGCUUUAAUCCCCGAUACCUUAU